rnacentral:tRNA from 1 species
AUAAUAUUAAGUUAUAAAAACUAUAAAUCUUCAAAAUUUAAUAAAUAUUUUU